rnacentral:rRNA from 1 species
CACGUAGGGUGCGAGCGUUGUCCGGAAUUAUUGGGCGUAAAGGGCUCGUAGGCGGUCCAUCGCGUCGGGAGUGAAAAGCUGGGGCUUAACCCCAGUCCUGCUUUCGAUACGGGUGGACUAGAGGUAGGCAGGGGAGAAUGGAAUUCCUGGUGUAGCGGUGAAAUGCGCAGAUAUCAGGAGGAACACCGGUGGCGAAGGCGGCUAUCUGGACGGUUUCUGACACUAAGACUCGAAAGCGUGGGGAGCAAACAGG